AUGGCCAAAACAACACUAAUUUUGCACAGAAAAUUCUAAAUAACUGACUUCCUGUUGGGAUUUGGAUUUCGUACCAAGAGACUUUUUCGUAGAUAUUGGUGUGUUACAUGUGUGUACCGAUUUUUGUACAUGUACGUGAAACAUAGCUCGAGGCGCACUCCGUUUAAAGUGUAUACGCACUCCGUUGAAAGUGUAUAGGUGGCGCUAUCAAGCCAUUUUGCCACACUCGAUGGAAUAUUGGCCUUCAGAUCUGUUCAGGCCAGGACCCUUAUCACACAAGUGAAGUUUGGGCAAGAUCAGACAUUUUAUGCCUGAGUUAUAACAUCUUUUAUUCCCAUGGCGAGACAUCGAACUUCAUCACGGCGCUAUUGGACACACCUUUUAACAAAAACUCAAGAUCUUCACAACUAAACAUCACACAGGUCUUUAGAUUAGACUGACCACAAAAAAGACAUUGAUGUCAUAAAAUUUCUAGGAGUAGUUUGUUGCAGUGUAAAAUAUGUAACUUCCUGUUGCCAAUAGGUGGCGCUAUGACUAUAACUGAAUAUUGGCAUGUAGAUCUGUUCAGGUCAAGAGUCUUAUCCAACAUGUGAAGUUUGGGGCAGAUUGGACAUUGUAUGUCUGAGUUACAGCAACUUCCUUUUUCAUGGCGAAACAUCAAAAUUUGUCAGGCCGCCAUGGACCCGCCCUUUAACGAAACCUCAAGUCCUUCGCAAUUUAUUAUCGCAAAGGGCUUUAGAUUACACUGACCAAGUUUGGUGUUGAUCUGAAUAAAUCUCUAGGAGGAGUUCGUUAAAGUACAACCCCUGAAAAUGGCCAAAAAAACGCCAAUUUUGCAGAGAAAAUUCUAAAUAACCGACUUCCUGUUGGGAUUCGGAUUUCAUACCAAGAGACUUUUUUGUAGGUAUUGCUGUGUUACAUGUGUAUACCGAUUUUUGUACAUGUACAUGAAACGUAGCUCGAGGCGCACACCGUUGAACGUGUAUAGGUGGCGCUAUCGAGCCAUUUUUCCACACCUGAUGGAAUUUUGGCCUUCAGAUAUGUUCAGGCCAGGACUCUUAUCACACAUGUGCAGUUUGGGGAAGAUCGGACAUUUUAUGCCUGAGUUAUAACAUCUUUUAUUCCCAUGGCGAGACAUCGAACUUCGUGAUGGCGCCAUGGACACGCCUUUUAACGAAAACUCAAGAUCUUCACAACUAAACAUCGCACAGGCCUUUAGAUUAGACUGACCACAAAAAAUACAUUGAUGUCAUACAAUUUCUAGGAGUAGUUCAUCGAAGUGUAAAAUAUGUCACUUCCUGUUGCCAGUAGGUGGCGCUAUGACUAUAACUGAAUAUGGGCAUGUCAAUCUGUUCAGGUCAGGAGUCUCAUCAAACAUGUGAAGUUUGGGGCAGAUUGGUCAUUGUAUGUCUGAGUUAUAGCAACUUCAUUUUUCAUGGCGAAUCAUCGAAAUUCGCCAGGCCGCCACGGACACGCCCAUUAACGAAAACUCAAAAGCUUCGCAAUUUAACAUCGCAAAGGCCUUCAGAUUAGGCAUACCAAAUUUGGUGUUGAUCUGAAUGAAUCUCUAGGAGGAGUUCGUUAAAAUACAACGCAUGGAAAUGACAAAAAUGACACAAAAUUUGCUCAUAAUAUUAGUAAUAACCGACUUCCUGUUGGGUUUCGGAUUUUGCUCCAAGAGACUUUUUUGUAGGUAUUGGAGAGUUACAUGUGUAUAUCGAUUUUCAUACAUGUACAUGAAACGUAGCUCGAGGCGCACACCGUUGAACGUGUAUAGGUGGCGCUGUUGAGCCAUUUUGCCACACCCACUUCUGAAACCCAUAUCAGACGUAAAUUUUCGCCAGUUCUGAGGUGUGUGCAAAGUUUCAUGACUUUUCGAGCAUGUUUAGGCCCUCAAAAAUGCGAUUCAUUUUGGAGAAGAAGAAGAAUAAUAAUAAUAAUAAUAAUAAUAAUAAUAAUAAUAAUAAUAAUAAUAAUAAUAAUAAACGGAGCAAUUCCAAGAGGGUCCUCACACCAUCGGUGCUCGGGCCCUAAUUAAAGCUGCAAGCAGCGAUGAACGGGCCCUCGCACCCGGGCUCACCGCCAUCGUGUGGCUUUAGUAAAAAGGUGAACGUUGAGAAAUAUGCAUUUAAACUCAUAAAUAUAAGUGCAAUAUAUCAAAGUUUAUUCCAUAUGUGUGCCAAUCUUCAUGUUGCCAGCAGGUGGCGCUAUCGUUAUAAUGGAAUAUUGGCCUUCAGAUGUGUUCAAGCCAGGACCCUUAUCACACAUGUGAAGUUUGGGCAAGAUCGGACAUUUUAUGCCUGAGUUAUAACAUCUUUUAU